CAGGUCGAACGAUGAAGUUCCUUCGGGAAUGGAUUAGUGGCGAACGGGUGAGAAACACGUGAGAAACCUGCCUUUCAUUUUGGGAUAACUCCGGGAAACCGGAGCUAACACCGAAUACUCCGUCUCGGCGGCAUCGCUGAGCCGGGAAAAAAUUUUGAUGAAAGAUGGUCUCGCGGCCUAUCAGCUAGUUGGUGAGGUAAUGGCUCACCAAGGCGACGACGGGUAGCCGGCCUGAGAGGGCGACCGGCCACACUGGGACUGAGACACGGCCCAGACUCCUACGGGAGGCAGCAGUGGGGAAUAUUGGGCAAUGGGCGCAAGCCUGACCCAGCGACGCCGCGUGAGGGAUGAAGGCCUUCGGGUUGUAAACCUCUUUCAGUAGGGAAGAAGCGAAAGUGACGGUACCUAAAGAAGAAGCACCGGCUAACUAUGUGCCAGCAGCCGCGGUAAUACAUAGGGUGCAAGCGUUGUCCGGAAUUAUUGGGCGUAAAGAGCUCGUAGGUCGUUUGCCACGUCGAUUGUGAAAAUCUGAGGCUCAACCUCAGACCUGCAGUCGAUACGGGCAAACUAGAGUGUGGUAGGGGAGACUGGAAUUCCUGGUGUAGCGGUGGAAUGCGCAGAUAUCAGGAGGAACACCAAUGGCGAAGGCAGGUCUCUGGGCCAUAACUGACACUGAGGAGCGAAGGCGCGGGGAGCGAACAGGAUUAGAUACCCUGGUAGUCCGCGCCGUAAACGAUGGGCACUAGCUGUGAGAACCUUCCACGGUUUUCGCGACGCAGCAAACGCAUUAAGUGCCCCGCCUGGGGAGUACGAUCGCAAGAUUAAAACUCAAAGGAAUUGACGG
rnacentral:rRNA from 1 species